AGUAAAGAAGUGGAAAGAGAUAAUAAAACAAUUUUUCUAAAAAAUGUAAUUAAAUUUAAAUAAAAGAUUGAAUUAUUGACAUUGGAUGUGGUUUAAAUAAUUAAAAAUUAUUUUUGUUUAUUUAUUGAAAAGUGUUACAUUUGAAUGUAACAAUAAUAUUUUGAAUAAUGGGAGAUCACAAAAGCUUAACGGAAAAUAUAGACAUUUUUCCAAUUUAUAAAUCCUGGGAACUAUGUGAUGAAACGUGUGACAUUCUUUUAAAUUUUGGAAUUACAUCAACAACCAUAUUAAAAAAAUGGAAAUUAAAGACGUUGAAAAUUUAUUCAAGAAACUGGACAAACAAUAUACUGGGGAGUUGAUUAAAUUUAAAGCAGGCCUAAGGGAAUGGAGAAGAAAUAUUAACCUACCGUUCAUAUGUGAAAAAUAAACUUUAUCGGCAAAUAGUCGGAUAUUGGAUUGGUUGGAAAAAAUUUCAGAGAAACUCAGUAACUCAGGAUAUUCUGACUGCCCACUCAGUACACAAACGUCAGAAGACAAUUCUAUAUGUGGUACUAGCCUUACAAACCUCCUUAGAAAUACCGUGAAAGGACAGCUAGUACUAACUUUUAAUGAAAAAAAUAAUUGUCUUGACUCAAAAAAUCAGAAGACUUUAGUGCACUGUAUUAUUGAGAAAUAUAUUGGCACAAGAUCCAAAUUAACAUACGCAGAAAUGCAGCAAUGGUCUUAUGCUAUCUGUGAUGUAUUUCCUAAAGAAAAACCGGAAACAUACUUUUUGAAACGGAAAGACGGGAAGAAAAAUCCAACAGGAAAAUUAUUUUCUCGUUGGACUAAUGUUGAAAAAGGUAAAUUCGAUGACUAUAAUGGCAGUACAGCGGAGGAAACUUUUAAAGAUUUUGAUAGCGAUAAAUAUUUCGAGCAAAAGUGCUGGCUGCAGCACAAUUGCAGUCCAAGGGAUCAGGUACUUUCAUUCUGGAGGGAAACAAGGAAAAUUAGAAUGGAUGAGAAAUUUAUUUGUUCUGAUUUAACUUAACUUUUAAUAUCUACUUUGUUUUGAAAAGGUCGAUAUAGAUUUUGAUUUUUUGUACCCAGACAAAGUAAAUAAGUUAUUCCUAAAGUUGGAAACUUUUUAUAAAAAGUUGGUUAAAGUCUUUGACAAUGAAAUUAAAGACCGUGCAUCAAGAGAAUUUUACCUACAAUAUCUACGGAAUGAAAAUAUUAAUAAAGAUUGUAAGUAUUGUAUAUGUACAAUACUGCUUCACGCUUUGUUACAGCCACAACGUCUUAAUAAAGAACAUAAGCCUUCGAUAGCCGAUGCUCAAACAGACUUCGUCACUUUAGUACCAACUCUUAAUGAUAUUGAACCAAGAAUCCUGCAAAUUGUUGAAAUGUAUGCAGAAAGAAAAGAAAGACUUCAGCCAAGAGUAAUGGUUGUUGGACCAGAUUUUUCCAAAAUUUCUGAUUUUUUCGUAUUUUGUGAUGGCCUAAAGUGGAAGUGUCCUUCUUACAUGAAAUGUAUAGACAUUAUUAUAAAGUUAUCUUACGUUUUUAAUACUGAAUAUUCCCCGAAAAGCAAGCAAGUAUGGUCAUUUUUAGAGCAGUAUUUUUUUGAUUUGAAGUCUGAGGAUUUUUCUUCUGUUGCAAAUUUAUUAAGCAAAUUACAGUAAUAUUACAUUCGUUUUUUCAAAAAUGA